UGAAGGUUUGGACUCCAUGGCCCAGAAACCCUUUCCCGCCAAAGCCUACCAACCAUUUUUCUAAUGUUCAUUGAUUCUGUCUCGUUCUUCAUCUCUCUCAUUCUGCCACUCUUUCAAAAAGUAGUAGUAACUCUGUAACUGACUAGACCUCUCUCUCUGAACUACUCAGACUCUCUGUGCUAAGCUACGGAAAUAUUUUAUUUCCAAAGUCGAAAGUUCAUUGCUUUUUUGAUUGAAUUUUUUGGAUGCUUAUGAUUUUUAUCAUACUUGGUGCUUUACUUGCAGUGCAGUGCUGUGCUGGGUCACUAGGAUUUUUGGGUAUUGGGACAUCAAUGGCGGAACAGAAGGACGCUUUUUAUGUUGUACGGAAAGGGAAUAUUGUUGGCAUUUUACAAGAGUUUGAGUGAUUGCCAAGCUCAAUCCGGGUCUUCUGUGCGGUGUGGAAUCCUUCCAUAAGUGUGUACAAAGGAUAUUACUUGUCUAAGGAUGCUGAGGAGCACCUUGCCUCGCAUGGGCUUAAGAAUGCUACUUAUUCUGUUGGCGCUGCUGAUGUGACAGAUGAUAUUGUGAAAGCACAUCAUUAUUAUGAAAGUUUUGAAUCGUUCUUCCACAUUUUGAUCAACCAGCUUCUUUCGGAGUAAAAGCAGCUGACAAGGAUUUUCCCACAAAGAGAUUACAAGGAGUGCUUGAUUCGGACAGUGUUGAGGUGUCUGGAUCAACUUCAUUUUCAACAAAUCCUCAGAAGAAACAGUUCAAGUCAGACUAUAGCAAUCAAGCUGAAGUAAUUUCUUCUCUCAGUGCUGUUGAUCACUCAGAUCCCUCAAGUCCGGUUUUAGCACUGUUAUAGAGAAG